rnacentral:rRNA from 1 species
CAGCCGCCACGGUAAUACGUAGGUGGCAAGCGUUGUCCGGAAUUAUUGGGCGUAAAGGGCUCGCAGGCGGUUUCUUAAGUCUGAUGUGAAAGCCCCCGGCUCAACCGGGGAGGGUCAUUGGAAGCUGGGAAACUUGAGUGCAGAAGAGGAGAGUGGAAUUCCACGUGAAGCGGUGAAAUGCGUAGAGAUGUGGAGGAACACCAGUGGCGAAGGCGACUCUCUGGUCUGUAACUGACGCUGAGGAGCGAAAGCGUGGGGAGCGAACAGGAUUAGAUACCCCUGUAGUCCCUGUCUCUUAUAC